rnacentral:siRNA from 1 species
UCGAUUCUGCCAGCAAUUCUC